rnacentral:rRNA from 1 species
AGUGAACGCUGGCGGCGUGCUUAACACAUGCAAGUCGAACGAGAACGGAUUAUAGCUUGCUAUAAUUGUCAGCUAAGUGGCGCACGGGUGAGUAAUGUAUAGGUAAUAUGCCUCUUACUAAGGGAUAGCAAAUGGAAACGUUUGCUAAUACCUUAUACUCCUUAUUAACAUAAGUUAAUAAGGGAAAGAUUUAUUGGUAAGAGAUUAGCCUGUAUUGUAUCAGUUAGUUGGUGGGGUAAUGGCUUACCAAGACUAUGACACAUAACUGGUUUGAGAGGAUGAUCAGUCACACUGGAACUGAGACACGGUCCAGACUCCUACGGGAGGCAGCAGUGGGGAAUAUUGCACAAUGGACGAAAGUCUGAUGCAGCAACGCCGCGUGGAGGAUGACACAUUUCGGUGCGUAAACUCCUUUUAUAUGAGAAGAUAAUGACGGUAUUAUAUGAAUAAGCACCGGCUAACCCCGUGCCAGCCGCCGCAGUAA